rnacentral:snRNA from 1 species
GUGCUCACUUCGGCAGCACAUAUACUAAAAUUGGAAUGAUACAGAGAAGAGCAACAUGGCCCUGCGCAAGGAUGACAUGCAAAAUCAUGAAGAGUUCCAUAUUUUU